UACUUGGUGUUACUGCGAAGGGGGGACGGAGAAGGCUAUGUUAGCCGGGCGACGGUUGUCCCGGUUUAAGCAUGUAGGCGGAGGUUCCAGGUAAAUCCGGUACCUUAUUAACGCUGAGGUGUGAUGACGAGGCACUACGGUGCUGAAGUAACAAAUGCCCUGCUUCCAGGAAAAGCCUCUAAGCAUCAGGUAACAUUGAAUCGUACCCCAAACCGACACAGGUGGUCA
rnacentral:rRNA from 1 species